GUCUGUGCAUGAGAGGACUUAUUCAACUUACUGCGAUUUUAACGGGCUUAAAGCUUGGUCCAUGGAUGGUUAUGUUUGAGGAUUUGCCAAUUCGACCGCAAGUGCUGCUGCAAGAAAUUAAACAUGCAGAGACCUUACAAAUUACAAAGAAGUCUGAAGAAAAUUUUUAUUGGACAGAUGGGUGUAAAGCACAGACCUGAGAUAUAAAUUGAAUUGUGAGAAAUAUGAAUCAGGGAUGCAGGUAGAAAAUGGCAAAUGUGAUCCAGAUUGAUAAAAAAUGUCUAAAAUUUUUUCUUGUUUUGUAAAUAUUCAAUGCUAUGUCAAUUGUUAUUUUUUCCCCAGUACCUAAUAGUGUUGAACAUUUCACUCCCACUUUUGCUUAAAUAGAAUGAAUAAAUUUCCAUUUAUUUAAUAUGAAUAUUAAAAAAUGCCACAUUUUUUCCAUGAACUUGUGGCUUAAAUAAGAGUUCCAGUUUUUUUUCCAUACAUGCUCCUAUUUGUUUGUCAAAGAUAUAAGAUCCAAUACAUUGCUCAUGAACAUAAUGUGUAAUUUUGUUCAUUCAUUUAUAUGUUUUUUUCUCAUAAUGAUAUAAUAAAUUGUAUAUAAUUUU